ensembl:lncRNA
GGGAGGUCAACUCUAGUUUCCGAGGUGAGAAAGCUGAGAUCCCAGAGAGGUUGUGUGAUUUAUUCAAAGCCACACAGCAAUGUAGCCACAAAACCGAGACUAGGCCUCCAACCCACGGCUCUUUGCACUUGGACUCUGAUCAGCAUCCCACCCAGAGUCUACUCUGACUGAUGUUAACUGCGUAAAAGAAAAUCGCCCGUGGAUCCAGGCACUGUCCCUACUACAUGGAACAGAACAAAGAGUCCCUCUCCUGAGGAACUGAUGAAAGGGGAGAAAGAGGAGCAACCAAGGCAGAGAUCCUCAAGGAGGAAGCCCUGACUCUCCACGUGUGAGACCCAGCGGGACACCACUUUGCAGUCUGCUUUGCUGGCGACCGUGCCUCAUCUGCGAGGUCCAGGGAGGAGAGCACCUGUGUCAGACAUGCGGCACAGCGCUCCAAGGCCCAGAUCCUGCUCUUCUUGGCAGAACAGAGGGCGUGGUAACUGGGCACUCCCGAGGGCCCUGUAUGGGUCUCGCUAUGCAGUUCAGGCUGGUCUUGAACUCACCACGUACCCCAGGCUGGCUUCAAACUCCCAGUGAUUCCUGAGGGCUGGGGUCACAGAAUCAUGGAGGUGGCCAGGAGCCGCUGCAGGUUGGCAGCAGAAAUAAAUAUGUAAAUGAAACACAGCUUUCCAACCUCAGCAACCGAAGAAGAGCCUGGCUGGAGGCUCUAGGAGAGUUCCCUACCGGAGCAUUUUGAGUUGUUAAUUUCCAGCUUUCUUUUUAUGCACUGUGCCUACCUUUGUGACUGGAUUCUGCACGCAGCCCUGAGCCCCUCCAGAACACAAACUGGGCUUUGGAAUGAGUCAGGACAUGUGUGCUGUGUGACUGCUCGGUGCCGGGCUCUGUUCUCAACGCCGAGUGCCCAGCCCUGAGCAGGAUGAGUAACGGGCUCUGCUCUCACGCGGGUUCGUCCCAGUGGAGGAGACAGCAGCGAAAUGAACACGCGGAGUGGUAGCGAUUCCUAAGAGCAACAGGCGACUGACGACGGUCAGGAGGCGGCAUGGUGCAGUCUCGUUUUCAGCAGACUAGAAAGCAGACGGCGCUGCGCAGAGACUCAGGGCUGUGGGGAAGGAAGGGAGCACGGCCAGGCAGGGGAACCAGUUGGAAGCCCUCUUUCAAACCCUCGCCUACUUUUCCAGCCGUAUCUCUGCCCAUUCCUCCACCUUGAGCCAUGUUGACUUUAUCUCCCUUGAAUACACCGAGCACCUGCUGGCCUACCUUCAUGAAGUUCCCUACUACUGUGCUGUUACCCAAUCUCCUCUACAGACAUCACCUCACCGAAUGUGCACGUUUUGGCUUCAUUGAUUGAGAAAACUGAGGCUUUUGACACAUUGUUGCCAGCUGGAAGGCUCCUGGGCCCAACUAAAAUCUCGGGUGGACUGCUGGCUCCAGGUCAUGUGACUCUCUGGGCAUUUCCUCCCGGGAGAGUGGUCAGAUUAUCCUGAAAAGUCAAUGUAAGACUUCUGGAGAGAAAAAUGGAAGCAUGAACAACAGUUCGGGCAACUGUAUUGAAAUGGUUUAGAGGGACCUCACGGCAUGGUCAGGACACUGAGACUAGCUGGCCUGUAGGGUUUGGAGUGAUAACUUAGGCAAGAGAGAGACCCUGAGUGUCAUAUCAAAGAGCUAGACUUUCUCUCAUUUACAGCAAAGAAUUAUUGAAAGGUUUUAGGCAAACAAACCAAAAUACUGCGUAGACCGAACAAGUAGAGUGUCUAGAAAUGAUUAGAACUGCGGCUCCUCGGUGAGCAGGCUUUCUCCCUAGUAGAAGAUCCCACCUGUGCUGAGGGCCAUAUAAGACGUACAGGCCCAGUUCUGCCGCUGGGGAAUCUUGGUUUUAUGUAAAAUCCACCUAUUUUUUAUGUAAUUGCAACAGAUUUUUAAUGGCAUGAGCCACAAAGGGCUCCACGCUGGGGCCUCGGUCCUGGAGUGUGAAUGAGCUUCAAGAGAACAGGGCUUUGUCCAUGUUUGCCACCACGUUCUCGGGGCCUGGCACACAGUAGAUGUGCAAUAUACAUGUGUUACAUGCGUGUGUUAAUAGCAUUUCCAUUUUACUUCUGAGGAAACAAAGUCAUAGCAGACAACCCACAAGGUUACAAGGAAAGUGGCCCUGGUCGGGCUCGAGUCCAAACUUUUGAACUUCAAAAUAUUUGUAGGUAAGUUGACGUAUGCCAGGCACAGUGCUGCAAGUCUGUGAUCCCAGCACUCCAGGAGGCUGAGGCAGGAGGACUGCAGGUUCAGGCCUGGCCUGGGCAACUCAGUGAGACCCUGUCUCAAAAUUUCUUAAUUUUACAAAGGGUUGGGGAUGUAGCUCAGUGCAAAAGCCUUUGGUCCAAUCUCCAGUAAAACAACAACAAAGACAACUUGACGUAUAAUACAGAUGAAAUGAGAGUAGAGAUUUCCUUACCAGCAUCUUCAGCACUCCCAACCGAGGGCUGUCCCACACACUGCCAAUGUCCCUUGCAUGGUUGCAGCUAGUUUUAAUCCCUAAGAAACGUCUGAUCCCACUAUCUGGGACCCCCACCCCCACCCCGACCUAGCAAUCAAAGAUGAGGGAGCCCACAAACCACCUGUCCCUCCCAGUGCAGGGACAUUUGCCUGAUGAUGAGCUGCUAGAGGCAGUUGCUCCCAGGCCUUUCAAAUCCAAAGAAGGCCUCAUCAGGCCUAUGCUGGCCAGGUGCCUAACUAGGGAAGUCCCCUGGGAUAGCCAAGAACCUUCAAAGCUCUCUUUGCUCUAGUUCACUAUUUAUAAAACAUUCUCAGCAGAGCUAGGCACAGCUGCUGCAUAAACAGAAGUGGAAGGUGAGAGCACAGUAGAUCUAGCGAAGGGUGUCUCAGGAAAUACAGUACCAGCAGUGGAAGCUCUAACGUAAGAGUCAGGAUUUCUCCUAGAUCUCGGUUGAAAUAAAACUGAUCCAGCCUUCCUUCUUUCCUUCCUUUCCUCGUCCUCCCUUCCUCUAGUCAGCCAUGCAAUAAACAUCUAAUAAAGACCUUCAGUGUGCCAUGACCGGCCGGUAAGGGUCCAAUGGCGCCUAGGAGCCCAGUGUGCUGUACUUUGUCCC